CUGCCAGACCUCAAGGGAUCUGAGGGUAUUCCUGGGGGUUGAUGGUAGAGGAAUCUCGAAGCCCAGGGAACGGAGAAAGAAAACACAGAUGCAGCUUGCCAAUCAGAUUGGCCUGGGUCCAAAUCCCAGGCUUGCUCUGCCCACUCUUUCCUCCAAAUGGAAGUGGCCCAAGUCUCUCUCAACCUAUCCGUGGUUCCUUCAGGCUCACAGUUGGAUGGAAUGAAGAGGGGAAGCAGUGACUCAUGCAGGUGGCCAGAUGGCUCUAGGAGUGGCUGUUUUUAUUGGUCUUGGAUCUUCCCUACCAUUCUUUCAGCCAAGAGUUCCCAGACCCAGCUCUCAAUGACUUAUCAAAGAAGAAAACCAGAUCCAUCUGGAGCCAAGUGAAGUCUUUCUGCCUAGAACAUUUGGGAGCCCCUAGUGCCCUGAAGAGCAUCAUUGCCUUCCAGGCACAGGAUGAAUGAGGCCAGGCAGCGCCUGCUGCUCCCCACCUUGCUCAAUUUUACAGAGCUGACAUGCCGACUACAGCCCCUGCAAGUCCCAGCUCCUGCACAUUAUUGCAACUGAGUUUAUAGGGGCCUGUCUCACAUUCAGCAUGUGCUCCUCUGCUCUGAGUCAUUGCCUUUUGGUCAUUACCAUCAAAAAUUUUCCAGAAAGGAUAACUAGACUUCUGUCCAGUAGAUGCUGGGGAGACCUGUACCAGUUAAACUCUUGGUGCCACAGUGGUCUCUUGUCCUGGCAUCUCUGAUCACCUGGUGUGCAUCGUGGGCUUGGUCUAAUUGAAAGUCUGUUACUCCACAUCUCCUGCUUGCCAUUGCUCAGCCACAGGUGUAUCCUCAUAUCCUAUUUUCUAGACCUAUGUCCUGGGGUAGCCCUGAUUCCAUGUGGAAUAUUAAGUGGUGGACUGAUAAUUGAGAAAGGCAUUAAAGAAGGAACUGCUUUGGUAGCUGUAUUUGGUCAGACUGGGAAGGUGUCAAGGCUCAGGUUUGUGUGUCUCAGGCACGGCAGGAACUGAGGUGCCCCCAAAUGGAACACACCCAAAGCCUGCACUGCAAGAUCCAAAGGAAUUUUCGCAGCACUCAGAAAGGAGGAGUUCCUUAGAGAUGGUGUCUGCGGUGCCAAGAUGGCAGGAAGAAAACCAUCCAAAAGCAAGUUGGCUCUGCUUCCCGGAGCCCUUGAAUACUGAGCCCCGAGUGGCGGAGCAGCUCCAAGUAGUGAAACCAAGUAGCGUGUGAAGAGCAGGCUGGUAAGGGAAUGUCGGCUGGCACGGCUCCGGCUGGCUGCCCCGAGGGAACUAUAUUUACAUCAGCACUCACAAGGCAAGCUCCACAGCAACAUGGGACAAGCUGACUUUGGGCUCGCUGGGGUGUCUGAGGUCGCUGGUCCUUAACUGGGUUCACAUGAAGGAGCAUUUGUGUGCUGCCCGGCCUAGCCAUCAACCAUCCGCAGGAAAGAUGGACACAGAGUGCGUGCCCAGCUUCCGGGUAUGAUAACAGAAGUCAAGGG
rnacentral:lncRNA from 1 species